rnacentral:rRNA from 1 species
AUUGAACGCUGGCGGCAGGCCUAACACAUGCAAGUCGAACGGUAACAGGAAGAAGCUUGCUUCUUUGCUGACGAGUGGCGGACGGGUGAGUCAUGUCUGGGAAACUGCCUGAUGGAGGGGGAUAACUACUGGAAACGGUAGCUAAUACCGCAUAACGUCGCAAGACCAAAGAGGGGGACCUUCGGGCCUCUUGCCAUCGGCUGUGCCCAGAUGGGAUUAGCUAGUAGGUGGGGUAACGGCUCACCUAGGCGACGAUCCCUAGCUGGUCUGAGAGGAUGACCAGCCACACUGGAACUGAGACACGGUCCAGACUCCUACGGGAGGCAGCAGUGGGGAAUAUUGCACAAUGGGCGCAAGCCUGAUGCAGCCAUGCCGCGUGUAUGAAGAAGGCCUUCGGGUUGUAAAGUACUUUCAGCGGGGAGGAAGGGAGUAAAGUUAAUACCUUUGCUCAUUGACGUUACCCGCAGAAGAAGCACCGGCUAACUCCGUG